rnacentral:tRNA from 1 species
AAGAUUUUAAGUUAAUUAUAAACUAUUAAUCUUCAAAAUUAAAUAUAUAAAUUACAUAAAUUUAUAAAUCUUA